rnacentral:rRNA from 1 species
CUACGUAGGGGACGAGCGUUGUCCGGAAUUACUGGGCGUAAAGGGCGCGCAGGCGGAUAUUUAAGUCAGCUGUAAAAGGCAUGAGCUCAACUCAUGUAUGCGGUUGAAACUGGGUAUCUAGAGUGCUGGAGAGGUAGGCGGAAUUCCCGGUGUAGCGGUGAAAUGCGUAGAUAUCGGGAAGAACACCAGUGGCGAAGGCGGCUUACUGGCCAGCAACUGACGCUGAGGCGCGAAAGCCAGGGGAGCGAACGGGAUUAGAUACCCCGGUAGGCCUGGCAGUAAACGAUGUAUGCUGGGUGUGAGACUAGCGAUAGUUUCGUGCCGAAGUUAACGCGAUAAGCAUACCGCCUGGGGAGUACGGUCGCAAGAUUGAAACUCAAAGGAAUUGACGGGG